GGGAUUGAACCCCGGCCACAGCAUGGAAAGCCUGGAAUCCUAACCACUAAGAGGUUAACCACUUCUAUUGGCAGACCAGCCAGUAGAGAAGGACUUGAAUCACCUAAGAGGAUAAAAUCUAAAUGGCCACUAGACGUGUGAAAAGAUGCGGUCUUUUCAUUACAUGUCAGGAAAAUAUUAAUUAAAAUCACAAGGAGAAAGCACUCUACACACACCAGAAUGGCUGAAAUGAAAAACCCACACAUCCUAAGUGCUGCCAAAGAUGUAUCACACUCAGACUCGGAGGAGGUAAUUGAGGACACCCACUCUGGCAGCUGGUUGGCAGCGACUCCUAAAUUUAGCAUUCAGUGCUCUAUGAGCCAGCAAUUCCGCUCCUGGGUGGACACCCACAGAAACCUGUCACAUGUUCUCUGAAAGACAUGUCCCUGCAUGUUCACCUCAGUGCUAUGAAAAAAAAGACUCUAGACCACCCAAAUGCCCACCAUAGAAGGAUUGGUAAAAAAAAGGAUGCACACAGUGAAACACUCAACAGCAAUGAGAACAAAUGAACCACAGCGACAUACGAAAAGCUGAAUAAAUCUCACAGACAAUGUUGAGUGAAAGAGGCCACACAAGCAUACAUGCUGUGUGAUUCCAUUGAUAUAAAGUCCCCAAAGAGGCAAAUUCAAUCCACAGGGUUACAAGUCAGGAUGGUGGUUACGCUUGGGAGGCAUAGUGACUAGAAGGGGGACAUGGUAGGGUUUCUGGAGGGCUGGUUAUAUUCUGUUUUCUGUUCCUUCUGUGAGUUUAUCAAACUAUACACUUAGGAUUUGUAUACUUUGCUUUAGGUAUACUGUAAUGCAGUUAAAAGUUUUCAUAACCCAGGGCUUCCGUGGUGGUGCAGUGGUUAAGCAUCCGCCUGCCAACGCAGCGGACACGGGUUCGAGCCCUGGUCCGGGAAGAUCCCACAUGCCACGCAGCAACUAAGCCCGAGCGCCACAACUACUGAGCCUGUGCCCUAGAGCACAUGCUCUGCAACAAAAGAAGCCACCACAAUGAGAAGCCCGCGCACCGCAACAAAGAAUACCCCCUGCUCGCCGCAACUAGAGAAAGCCCGCGCACAGCAACAAAGACCCAACGCAGCCAAAAAAAAAAAAAAAGUUUUCAUGACCCAAAUGAACGAGAGUUGUCCAGCCACCUUCCUGAUCUCUUCCAAGUGACUUUCACUUGCAGCCUCUGGUGAGGCCCAGAGAAAUGCCACUGUCUGGUGCCAUGCCCUUGGUCAGUCUGUUUCCUCCCUGUUGCCCAUGGGGAGCCAGACUUGGCCUUGGCCACCUGUCAGACGAGCCUGAGACAUCUAACUUCAAGGUGUCCUGACUGCCUAUUUAACACUCUUCCUGUUGGGAAAUUACACUGGCCCCUCCCAAAAGGAGUCCCAGUCUUAUGAUGUCCCCCAGGCUCCUGCCUGGGUGCAGGAAGCAGGGUCGUGAUAGAACCUUGAACUCUCUAUUCUCCCUGAGGGUCUGUGAAAAGGCAAAAUGGAUUCAGAAUCCAGGACUGAGAAAGUCCAGGCCCCCACUCAAAAUGGGAGGGGGACGGGCACAACCAUGGCCUGUGUUAAAGGGACUCAAAGACAUGAUGACAGCACAUUCCUUUCUUUUUUUUUAAUUUUUAAAAAAUGUAUAUAUAUUUUUUGGCUGCGCUGCGGGGCCUGCGAGAUCUUGGUUCCCCAACCAGGGAUUGAACCCACGCCACCUGCAGUGGAAGCGUGGAGUCUAAACCAAUGGAUGGUCAGGGAAUUCCUCACAUUCCUUUUUGUUUAAAAACCAAAAUUUGAAUCCAUCUGUCAAUUACCUCCAUAAAUCUAGACAGUUUCUUAAAGGUAAAGGCUCAAAAGGGAAUCUCAGCCUGAAAUUGAGGAGGAUUUUAUGUCACAACCUACAAAUGAAGCUAUGCUUGCCGAGCACAGUAGUUAAAACAAAACAAAGCAAAAAUGGUGAAAUUACUCGUUUGCUUCCCUAGCAGUGUCAUAUCCCCAGGCACGCUUUUGCCAACUUACCAACGCUUCUGAAAUAUUUUGCUACUAAUAAAUCUCACGAUUUGC
rnacentral:lncRNA from 1 species